ACUGCUCAGUAACACGUGGACAACCUGCCCUUAGGUUGGGUAUAAACCCGGGAAACUGGGUAUAAUACCCGAUAGGUCUCGAUUGCUGGAAUGCAUCGAGAUUUAAAGCUCCGGCGCCUAAGGAUGGGUCUGCGGCCUAUCAGGUAGUAGUGGGUGUAGCGUACCUACUAGCCUACGACGGGUACGGGUUGUGAGAGCAAGAGCCCGGAGAUGGAUUCUGAGACACGAAUCCAGGCCCUACGGGGUGCAGCAGGCGCGAAAACUUUACAAUGCUGGCAACAGCGAUAAGGGAACCUCGAGUGCCAGGUUACAAAUCUGACUGUCGAGAUGCCUAAAAAGCAUUUCAUAGCAAGGGCCGGGCAAGACCGGUGCCAGCCGCCGCGGUAACACCGGCGGCUCGAGUGGUAACCGUUAUUAUUGGGUCUAAAGGGUCUGUAGCCGGCCGGAUAAGUCUCUUGAGAAAUCUGGCAGCUUAACUGUCAGGCUUUCAGGAGAUACUGUCUGGCUCGAGGCCGGGAGAGGUGAGAGGUACUUCAGGGGUAGGGGUGAAAUCUUGUAAUCCUUGAAGGACCACCAGUGGCGAAGGCGUCUCACCAGAACGGACCUGACGGCAAGGGACGAAAGCUAGGGGCACGAACCGGAUUAGAUACCCGGGUAGUCCUAGCCGUAAACGAUACUCGCUAGGUGUCGGCCACGGUGCGACCGUUGUCGGUGCCGUAGGGAAGCCGUGAAGCGAGCCACCUGGGAAGUACGGCCGCAAGGCUGAAACUUAAAGGAAUUGGCGGGGGAGCAC
rnacentral:rRNA from 1 species